rnacentral:piRNA from 2 species
UGAACCUCAAACUGGCCUUGUGGGGUGAC